rnacentral:tRNA from 1 species
UCCUUGGUAGUCCAGUGGCUAAGACUCUGCACUCCUAAUGCAGAGGGCCUGGGUUCGAUCCUUGGUCAGAGAA